rnacentral:lncRNA from 1 species
UGCUACUUCUAUACUUUUUUCUUUUUUGUUUCUUCUUUUUUUCGACAAGAAAUGAUAGAGUGGUAUUUCAUUAAACUUCACAAACAAUUAUAGAGGUUGCCAAUUGGAUACAUAAGCUCCAGUGACCAAGAAAUUGAUCUAGAGUAAAUUUGCAUGGUAAAACAAACAAGUAAACCCCUAUACAACAACCACAAACACUAUCCUAACCCCACAAAAUGUCAUCAAUACAAAUAUGUUACAAAAACACGAUAGAUGCAACAGACUUAUACCGACGACCUCAUAGGUCAUCGCAUAAAUGCGAGGCCACAUAAAACCAUCGCCAUAGAGCAAGACCACAAAAAGUCAUCGUUAAAAGACGAGACCACAAACUCAACGCAUAAAGCGAAGACAACAUCUAACCAUCGCAAACACGCGACUACAACAUUCAUAGGGCGAGGCAAAGGAAUCAAGCACUACUUCAAGAAAGGACCAUCAGUCAGCUCAUCUUAGUGAGCAGGUCAUUAACCAAGACCACACUUAAGCCAGCAGCGUCGUCAGAUUUGAACGCCCAGGCAGCAGGUCUACCGGAUCUGAAAGUACAAGGAUGUGUAGCACCAAAUCGGUCGAGGGGAGCGUUACUGCCAUGUAAACAAGCUGAUGGAAAUGGAAACAACCACGAAACCUUCCCAAACCACAAACCAGCCCAAAAUCGAGGAACCUUGUAACGAGGAUGGCACGGAUCUGGGUAAAGACAUAGCCAAGGAUGAGUUACUCACAAAAUGGUGGGAAAGAGCUAUGGAGGGGAGGAUGGGAGGUGUUAUAGAAGCUAAGAGAAGGUAGGGGAGGCGGGGGGGGGGGGGGGAGAUGAGGGGGAGAAGUGGGGGAGGGGGCGGCGCUGGGAAGGGGGAGGGAUUGAAGGGAAUAAAAUAGGUGAAUGGGUUGGCAGAGGGUUAGGGAGGGGGAGAGAGAGACUGGGAGGAAGGUGGGGAGUGGCUGCCGCCUACCCCAAGCCAAAGCAAAGGGCUAGCGACUAAGAUUGUAGAAACCUAGGGUUUGGUUUUGGGGAGGGUGAGUCGGAGAGAGCUGAGAGAGAAAAAGAGUAUGUUUGUAGCUUAUUUUAACCUCUCUUAAUUAUAUGUGCUCAUAUAUUCCUCGAAGUGAUGCUUACCAUAUUGUAUGACACUUGUAAUUACAUGAUCAUUGAAGAAAGUUGAGGAUUUUAUUUUCUCUUUUGAUAAAGAAUUCAUACUCUUAACAAUUAGAAAGUAUCACGUAACAAAAUGUCAUCAAUAUAUAACAAAGAAAAAGAAAAUAUUGCAUUCAACUUUGAUUAGUGCCCCAAAAAAGAAACACGUACAAAAGUCCGUUUCUCAUGUUUAAACUUAGACAACUCUUUCCUUGUUCUCUAUUUUUGUUCAAAAACAUGACAACUCUGCUUAUGGCAUGGAGUGCAUGCCUGUGCUCCUAUGGAUAUGAGACCAAAAGAGACACUGAGACCCAAUACAGGAUGUCAAAGUAGGUUGGUUGGCAGAUAUAUUCUUGAAAGAAAAUAGGCUCAAAUAGCAAGUCGGUGCAUAUAUCUAUUUAAGAAUAUAAUGCUGCUUUAAUUUUGCAGCUAAUCUCAGGACCCUCCGUGUCACUUUAUCUUCCAAAAUGCAACACAAAAUAUAAUUAUACAACUCAGAAUUAAAAAUAUCUGCUGAUAUAGCGAUAUUAAGCAUUUGGGUCGGUGUAAUAUUAGUGCUAACAAUAAUCUUUAAGGUAUACUCUGUCCAAACCGAAUCGAGUGGAGAGCUUUAAGAAUAAGGACUGUUACAUUGCUGUAAGGUACCCCACGGGACCUAGAGACAACGGACAAGUAAGUUUUGGGGCAGUGGUCCCUCACAGAGGCACCCUAAAUGAGGAGGAGUUGAGCAGCACUAGACAAAUUUUGGGCAUCACAAAAAAUUCACAACUUUGAAAGGUGGGCGAAGGGUCGUCAUCACUUACUGGGUCACCUUUGUGAAUUAAAUCCAUGGGCAAUCGUGUAAUUAACUCUAUUUCUGUAUAUGUCAGACUGUACUAUCAUUUCAUGCUUUGGACCACACUGUGCUCCGCCAUUCGAAUAUCUUGCAUUACAUGAAACAAUAAGCCACAUGUGUUCACUAGAAAAACCCUAUAUCCAAAUCCUACCCUACCCACUCACUCCACUACAGUUUUGUUUCUGUUUCAUUUAAUCUAUCUAAUAUUGAGAGAAAGCCAGGGAAUAUGGUUUUAAGCAGUAAGCACAACAUAUAAUUAGUUAUUGUACGUAUUUUCUGAAGCAUGGAACCUAGUUUACAUUGACAAAACCAAGGUUGUGAGUAUAUUUCAUAUCGAUCGGCAAUGUGUUACCUUGAAAUCCCAAUAUAUUAAUGUCUAAAGUUCUCCAUCUGUUGUCGUGAUCAUUGUGAAUUCACUAUAAUAGUUAUCUUGAUGAGUCAUAUAAUGAAUUGCAAAUCUGUAACUACGUAUCAGGAAUAUUGUAUAGCCUUGGUAGCAAGUCAUAACAGUUUGGUUUAGGAGUCUAGGUAUAUAUGCAAUUACAUAUCACUAAAUAUUUAUGUCAUAAAUAGCUUUGCUUAGCUCGCAAGACUCUAACUAUUCUAACGAACAUAUUAACCUUCUACCAACUCCUCCAACAAUUUACAUGACCCUGGACUAAUCCCCACCAUUCUAUUAAAAUAAAGGAAAACUAACCAAAAGGGCUUGAAAAAUUUAACUUUUAAUCGAAAACCACAUUGAAAGUUUAUUUAAUGAUUAGUACAAAUCCCAUUUUUAUAUCAGCCCAAAUACAAUAGCCCAGACUAAAUAACAUGGUGGUUUGUCAAUUUUACCCCUAACGGAUGUGGUUAACCUAAUUUAACUAUUCUGUUAGAUUAGUCGGUUUGGGGUUAGCCGAACCUAUAAACUAAUUGAAUUUUAAUUUUUGCAGACCAAUUUCAGAGGGAUUUUCAAUUUUUUAUGAAUCUAGUUGAGUGGUUUGAGUAAUGCUUGCCGACGAAUGUUGAGAGCACAUUUUGAAAUCGUGAUCACCGUUGUUCUUCGUCUUUGUUAGGGGGAUUUUUCCGAAAUAAACCUUUGUUUCUGAACAGAUUCGCAGUGGUUGCAUAUUUUGAGAUUCUAUCGAAUCGUUGUCAUUGGUGUUGUUCGUUGUGCUUGAAUAUUUUAACUAGAGUGAUCGUCUUUCAUAUUUGGUUAGAUUUUCGUUUGGAGGUAAUCAACAUUGUUUUUGUAGUUUUGUAUUCGAUUUUGAAUUCGAUUUUUCGUUUAAUUCGAAUUCGAUUUUGAAUUCGUUUUUGCACGUAAUAUGCUUCGCUUUUUAUUUGA